GUGUGAACAUUUUUUUUCUGAAAAAGUUGCAAUUUGUUUAAAUGUCGAGACGAUUUAAUUUUGCUCGGCGAACGCGAAAUUCGUUUCAAGUUGUGGCUUCAAGAAGCCGUGAAAGUAGCCAAGACAUUACACAUCGCAAUAAAAAUAAUCGACUACGCACAACAAAGUCCCGUUCAAAUCAACGGAAAAAUGAUGCAACAACAACUGCAAAUGAAUGUCGUGAUAUUCAAAAUCUACAAGGUGUUGCGUUCGCGUACAGUAGUGUCACCGAUUACGCUUCUCAUAGGCAUCUUUUGGCGCCACAAAUAUAAGAGACAACUUCAUUCCAACGUUCAAGAUUCAAGGUCAAAUAUACCAUCUUUGUUUGGCUCUUUGUUACCUUUCGACAACGCAGACCACCAAUUUUUGCAGUUAUAUUUUAUCGGGAACGCGGAAGACGAAGUUGAUCGUCGGUGUGCCAUUAUU